UACGUAGGGGGCGAGCGUUGUCCGGAGUUACUGGGCGUAAAGCGCACGCAGGCGGCCUGUGAAGUUUGGAGUGACAGUCGGUGGCUCAACCACCAAAGUGCUUUGAAAACUGAUAGACUUGAGGGCUUCAGAGGGACACGGAAUUCCGGGUGGAGUGGUGAAAUGCGUAGAGAUCCGGAGGAACACCAAAGGCGAAGGCAGUGUCCUGGGGAGUACCUGACGCUCAGGUGCGAAAGCCAGGGGAGCGAACGGG
rnacentral:rRNA from 1 species